rnacentral:rRNA from 1 species
GUCUAGGCCAUGCCACCCUGAAUAACCUCGAUCUCGUCUGAUCUCAGAAGCUAAGCAGGGUUGGGCCUGGUUCAUAGUUGAAAGACCAGGUGCUGUAGGCA